GACGAACGCUGGCGGCAUGCCUAACACAUGCAAGUCGAACGAGGGUAGCAAUACCCUAGUGGCGAACGGGUGAGUAACGCGUGAGCAACCUGCCUUUAACUGGGGAAUAACACAAAGAAAUUUGUGCUAAAACCGCAUAAGACCACGACCCUGAAUGGGGUUGAGGUAAAAACUCCGGUGGUUAAAGAUGGGCUCGCGUCCCAUUAGCUAGUUGGUGGUGUAACGGACCACCAAGGCGACGAUGGGUAGCCGACCUGAGAGGGUGAUCGGCCACACCGGGACUGAGAUACGGCCCGGACUCCUACGGGAGGCAGCAGUGGGGAAUAUUGGGCAAUGGAGGAAACUCUUACCCAGCAAUGCCGCGUGAAUGAAGAAGGUCUUCGGAUUGUAAAGUUCUUUAAUUGGGGACGAAGUCAGUGACGGUACCCAAGGAAUAAGCCCCGGCUAACUACGUGCCAGCAGCCGCGGUAAUACGUAGGGGGCAAGCGUUGUUCGGAAUGACUGGGCGUAAAGGGUGCGUAGGCGGACGCAUAAGUUGGAAGUGUAAUACCUAGGGCUUAACCCAGGUGCUGCUUCCAAAACUGUGUGUCUUGAGUGCAGGAGAGGAAAGUGGAAUUCCUAGUGUAGCGGUGGAAUGCGUAGAUAUUAGGAGGAACAUCGGUGGCGAAGGCGACUUUCUGGACUGUAACUGACGCUGAGGCACGAAAGUGCGGGGAGCAAACAGGAUUAGAUACCCUGGUAGUCCGCACCGUAAACGAUGGAUACUAGAUGUGGGAGGUAUCGACUCCUUCCGCGUCGUAGCAAACGCGAUAAGUAUCCCGCCUGGGGAGUACGGCCGCAAGGUUGAAACUCAAAGAAAUUGACGGGGACCCGCACAAGCAGCGGAGCAUGUGGUUUAAUUCGAAGCAACGCGAAGAACCUUACCAAGACUUGACAUCGCGCGCUGGUCCUAGAGAUAGGACGUUCCUUCGGGACGCGUGGACAGAUGGUGCAUGGUUGUCGUCAGCUCGUGUCGUGAGAUGUUGGGUUAAGUCCCGCAACGAGCGCAACCCUUAUCCUUAGUUGCCAAUAUUAAGUUAGGAACUCUAGGGAGACUGCCGUGGAUAACACGGAGGAGGGUGGGGAUGACGUCAAAUCAUCAUGCCUCUUACGUCUUGGGCUACACACGUGCUACAAUGGCUAUUACAAAGAGCAGCGAACUCGAGAGAGGAAGCGAAUCUCAAAAAGGUAGUCUCAGUUCGGAUUGAGGGCUGCAACUCGCCCUCAUGAAGUCGGAGUUGCUAGUAAUCCCGAAUCAGAAUGUCGGGGUGAAUGCGUUCCCGGG
rnacentral:rRNA from 1 species